rnacentral:lncRNA from 1 species
UUCAUGCAUCAUAAUCCAAUGUGUGGUGGCUUCUCGUUGUCUUUCAUGGUCAUAUUUACCUCCUGAAUUCAUUAGUAGUGGUCCAAAAAGCUUCUCAUCAAUCUUGCUUUUUGCUGGCUGAAAGUUUGAUUUUUUUUGUUGUGCUACUAGCUUCUUGUAAACAUGACAUGUUUGUUUUAAAUGCCUCAUCAAAUGACUGGUUGAUCCACUAGCAACAACAGAAUAAUUGUUUU